GACGUAGGGCGCGAGCGUUGUCCGGAUUUAUUGGGCGUAAAGAGCUCGUAGGCGGCUUGUCGCGUCGUCCGUGAAAACCCACAGCUCAACUGUGGGCUUGCGGUCGAUACGGGCAGGCUAGAGUUCGGUAGGGGAGACUGGAAUUCCUGGUGUAGCGGUGAAAUGCGCAGAUAUCAGGAAGAACACCAAUGGCGAAGGCAGCUCUCUGGGACGGUACUGACGCUGAGACGCGAAAGCGUGGGGAGCGAACAGG
rnacentral:rRNA from 1 species